AGCGAACGCUGGCGGCAGGCUUAACACAUGCAAGUCGAACGCACCCUUCGGGGUGAGUGGCAGACGGGUGAGUAACACGUGGGAACGUACCCUUCGGUUCGGAACAACUCAGGGAAACUUGAGCUAAUACCGGAUACGCCCUUCGGGGAAGGAUUUAUCGCUGAGGGAGUCGGCCCGCCGUCUGAUUAGCUAGUUGGUGAGGUAACGGCUCACCAAGGCGACGAUCAGUAGCUGGUCUGAGAGGAUGAUCAGCCACACUGGGACUGAGACACGG
rnacentral:rRNA from 1 species